rnacentral:rRNA from 1 species
UACGAAGGGGGCUAGCGUUGUUCGGAAUCACUGGGCGUAAAGCGCACGUAGGCGGAUCUUUAAGUCAGGGGUGAAAUCCCGAGGCUCAACCUCGGAACUGCCUUUGAUACUGGGGAUCUCGAGUCCGGGAGAGGUGAGUGGAACUGCGAGUGUAGAGGUGAAAUUCGUAGAUAUUCGCAAGAACACCAGUGGCGAAGGCGGCUCACUGGCCCGGUACUGACGCUGAGGUGCGAAAGCGUGGGAGCAAACAGGG